AUUGAACGCUGGCGGCAGGCCUAACACAUGCAAGUCGAGCGGAUGAAGAGAGCUUGCUCUCUGAUUCAGCGGCGGACGGGUGAGUAAUGCCUAGGAAUCUGCCUGGUAGUGGGGGACAACGUCUCGAAAGGGACGCUAAUACCGCAUACGUCCUACGGGAGAAAGCAGGGGACCUUCGGGCCUUGCGCUAUCAGAUGAGCCUAGGUCGGAUUAGCUAGUUGGUGAGGUAAUGGCUCACCAAGGCGACGAUCCGUAACUGGUCUGAGAGGAUGAUCAGUCACACUGGAACUGAGACACGGUCCAGACUCCUACGGGAGGCAGCAGUGGGGAAUAUUGGACAAUGGGCGAAAGCCUGAUCCAGCCAUGCCGCGUGUGUGAAGAAGGUCUUCGGAUUGUAAAGCACUUUAAGUUGGGAGGAAGGGUUGUAGAUUAAUACUCUGCAAUUUUGACGUUACCGACAGAAUAAGCACCGGCUAACUCUGUGCCAGCAGCCGCGGUAAUACAGAGGGUGCAAGCGUUAAUCGGAAUUACUGGGCGUAAAGCGCGCGUAGGUGGUUUGUUAAGUUGGAUGUGAAAGCCCCGGGCUCAACCUGGGAACUGCAUUCAAAACUGACAAGCUAGAGUAUGGUAGAGGGUGGUGGAAUUUCCUGUGUAGCGGUGAAAUGCGUAGAUAUAGGAAGGAACACCAGUGGCGAAGGCGACCACCUGGACUGAUACUGACACUGACGUGCGAAAGCGUGGGGAGCAAA
rnacentral:rRNA from 1 species